AAGAAGCUAAUAACGCUGGCGGUAGGCUUAACACAUGCAAGUCGAACGGAAACGAUAAAGAGCUUGCUCUUUAGGCGUCGAGUGGCGGACGGGUGAGUAACGCGUGGGAAUCUACCCUAUAGUUGGGGACAGCAUAUGGAAACGUAUGCUAAUACCGAAUAAUCUCUACGGAGUAAAGGAGCCCACUUCCUGAAAGGUUUCGCUAUAGGAUGAGCCCGCGUUAGAUUAGCUAGUUGGUAAGGUAACGGCUUACCAAGGCCACGAUCUAUAGCUGGUUUGAGAGGAUGAUCAGCCACACUGGGACUGAAACACGGCCCAAACUCCUACGGGAGGCAGCAGUGGGGAAUAUUGCACAAUGGACGCAAGUCUGAUGCAGCCAUACCGCGUGUGUGAAGAAGGCCCGAGGGUUGUAAAGCACUUUCAGUAGGGAGGAAGAUACUAGGGUUAAUACCCCUAUUAUUUGACGUUACCUACAGAAGAAGCACCGGCUAACUCUGUGCCAGCAGCCGCGGUAAUACAGAGGGUGCAAGCGUUAUUCGGAAUUACUGGGCGUAAAGCGCGCGUAGGCGGAUGAUUAAGUCAGUUGUGAAAGCCCUGGGCUCAACCUAGGAACGGCAUCUGAUACUGGUCAUCUAGAGUUUAAGAGAGGGAAGUGGAAUUCCAGGUGUAGCAGUGAAAUGCGUAAAUAUCUGGAGGAACAUCAGUGGCGAAGGCGACUUCCUGGCUUAAAACUGACGCUGAGUGCGAAAGCGUGGUAGCGAAACGGGAU
rnacentral:rRNA from 1 species